GAUGAACGCUGGCGGCGUGCUUAACACAUGCAAGUCGAACGAUGAAGCCCAGCUUGCUGGGUGGAUUAGUGGCGAACGGGUGAGUAACACGUGAGUAACCUGCCCUUAACUCUGGGAUAAGCCUGGGAAACUGGGUCUAAUACCGGAUAGGAGCGUCCACCGCAUGGUGGGUGUUGGAAAGAUUUAUCGGUUUUGGAUGGACUCGCGGCCUAUCAGCUUGUUGGUGAGGUAAUGGCUCACCAAGGCGACGACGGGUAGCCGGCCUGAGAGGGGGACCGGCCACACUGGGACUGGGACACGGCCCAGACUCCUACGGGAGGCAGCAGUGGGGAAUAUUGCACAAUGGGCGCAAGCCUGAUGCAGCGACGCCGCGUGAGGGAUGACGGCCUUCGGGUUGUAAACCUCUUUCAGUAGGGAAGAAGCGAAAGUGACGGUACCUGCAGAAGAAGCACCGGCUAACUACGUG
rnacentral:rRNA from 1 species